rnacentral:lncRNA from 1 species
ACAGGGUUUUUUUUAGCUGGACCUUAGCAUUGUCAGUAUCAGUAGAAACAUAGUAAUACAAUUGUUUGGAGUCUUUUCUUCCUUCCUUCCUUCCUUCCUUUCUUUCUUUCUUUUUUUUUUUAAGAAGGAGAAGGGAUGGGGAAGUGGAGGCACUGUCACCUGCAGCCUCAGGAACUGUCACCUGCGGCCUCGAGAGGAGAAACACAGGGGAAGUGUAACCUCCCCACUCCAGGAAGAUGCUGACCUGGCUUGCAAUUUCUUGGAGGAAACAGGGGUUGGAAAGAUGGCACAGAGAUUACAAGAGCUGGCUGCUUUUCCAGAGGACCCACCCAGUGGCUCACAACCGUUCACUUCCAGAGGGACGGGCAUCCUCUUCUGACCUCUGAGGACAUUGUACAUGCAUGGUGCAUAGAUUUACAUGCAAGCAAACGCCUGUACACGUAAAAUAAGUAAUAAAAGUCUUUAACACAUC